rnacentral:rRNA from 1 species
CUGGAGGAGUGGGGAUGGUCAAAUAUCAGCCCCUUAUGACCUGGGCUACACACGUGUACAAUGGACAGAACAAAGGGUGCGAGACCGCAAGGUUUAGCCAAUCCCACAAAUCUGUUCUCAGUUCGGAUCGCAGUCUGCAACUCGACUGCGUGAAGCUGGAAUCGCUAGUAAUCGCGGAUCAGCAUGCCGCGGUGAAUACGUUCCCGGGCCUUGUACACACCGCCCGUCACACCACGAGAGUUUGCAACACCCGAAGUCGGUGAGGUAACCUUUAUGGAGCCAGCCGCCGAAGGUGGGCAGAUGAUGGGUGG